UACGGAGGGUGCAAGCGUUAUCCGGAUUCACUGGGUUUAAAGGGUGCGUAGGUGGGCUUGUAAGUCAGUGGUGAAAUCUCCGUGCUUAACAUGGAAACUGCCAUUGAUACUAUGGGUCUUGAAUUAUCUGGAGGUCAGCGGAAUAUGUCAUGUAGCGGUGAAAUGCUUAGAGAUGCGGAGGAACACCGAUGGCGAAGGCAGCCCCCUGGGCCGACACUGACGCUCAUGCACGAAAGCGUGGGGAGCAAACAGG
rnacentral:rRNA from 1 species